UUGGAGCAGUGAGUAUGUGCCGGGCACUGCCCUCAAGUCAUCUGCCAAUAGCAAGAGCUUCUCGGGUGUGGGCAGGGGACUAUGCCUUGCCGUUGCUAGGUGAGGAGGACACAGCUCCACCCCCUGUGCCCCUGCAGCUUCCUAGAGACAGACAGCACCGUCUCCACCUGUGAUGAUGAGGAUGAAGCUGGGGAUUGGAGCUGGGAAACCACAGGCCUUACACAACUGACUUCUGCGUCCAGUGGCCACCAAUGUCCACCAGUGACAACGUGCCCUUGCAGAAGUCCUUCCUCGGGCAAAGGAGAUGGGAGUAAUUCUCCACUUUCCGGAAUACCCACAGCAUUGUGAGCACUGGCUGCAUUUUGCUGACCAUCGCAGGACCCAAGGAGCUGGAGGAGUCAGAAGUGCUCAGUUAGAGCCCUAAUACACAUCUGUGGUUCCAGCCCAUCACUGGAGGAAGAUUCCUACACUGUCAGUCCUCACGGUCCUAGGAAGCUAAUCACACCCCUUACAGUAAGGUUACACAACCACGUAGCUUAAUCAGCGAGCAUCAUGCUGGCUGCCUGGGGUUGUGCAAAGGACCUCGUCCUGGCCACUGAAGGUCAGUCCCGAGGCCUCUCCCUGGAUUGGAAGUGACUGGAUAUGGCAUUCCGGCCCAGAGAAAGCUGACGCCUCUAGUGGCCACACUUAUGAUUGCACUUGGAGUACAGUAAGUUCAAUAAAUGCUUCUUGAAAGGUGUAAUAGCCAAGCCAGGAGAGGGCUGGGGGCCGAUGCCUGGGACAUUUCUCAGCAGCUGGAUACAGCUCUUCUUGAACCCAAGGUCAUUCCAGUACUUUUCUCUCGUGAGAAACAAUAAAAAUCUCUCAUUUGUUUAAACUA